AGAGGGUGCAAGCGUUAAUCGGAAUUACUGGGCGUAAAGCGUGCGUAGACGGUUAUGUAAGUCGGGUGUGAAAGCCCCGGGCUCAACCUGGGAAUUGCAUUCGAGACUGCAUAGCUAGGGUGCGGAAGAGGGAAGCGGAAUUUCCGGUGUAGCGGUGAAAUGCGUAGAUAUCGGAAGGAACACCAGUGGCGAAAGCGGCUUCCUGGUCCAGCACCGACGUUCAGGCACGAAAGCGUGGGGAGCAAACAGGAUUAGAUACCCUGGUAGUCCACGCCAUAAACGAUGAGAACUAGACGUUGAGAGGGUAAGCCUCCCAGUGUCGCAGCUAACGCGAUAAGUUCUCCGCCUGGGGAGUACGGCCGCAAGGUUG
rnacentral:rRNA from 1 species